CUGCUAAAAUCACUAAGGGGCUAGUCUCCACUUACUGGGGGAUCCAGGUGUGGUGAUCGAUCCACUGGGGGUUGACCGCCGAUCGUGAUACCUGUAGACUCCGGUACUCCACUGGAACGAGAAGCAUAAGGUAGUGACCCCACCUCCACCGCAAAGAGCCCCGUGGAUACUUUGGCGGGUCUGGAGCCAGUGGAAAGUUGACCUAACCCAGAGGAGGAAGUCAUUGAUGAAGAGGUGGAGGCUGAAGAUGUGGAGCCCUAUGAUGCGGCUAGUCAGGAGCUGUUCUCCACUCCAGCCAGUCUCUGCAAUCACGCUCUGGCGAGCCAGAAGCAGGACAGGAGACCCCAGACUUCACCUUGAGAACCAACCCUCCAACAGAAGCAGAGCGUCUGCGCAAGAUAAGAAAAUGGCUGAGAUGGACCAAGGAAGAUAUGUUCUGGGUGAUGCUGCAGCAGUCAGAGAUAGAAAAUACCAAACACAAGAAGUUGAGGGAAAGCGACAAGCAGGAAAGAGAAGAGAAGGAUUCUUACAACAGGGAUGCCACAGAGCGGCUGAUUGAAGUUCUGGAGUGUCAAACCGACAUGCUCCAGACUCUCGUAACACUGAAGACUGAGCAGACUGAUGCAUGCCCGCCCUCCCCUUCAGCAUAUUCAGAACUCUUUCCCAUGAACUCCCCAAACUCCCCUCGCGCAUUUCUUUCCGACUUCUGGCACUUCACCCUUUCCUCUACACUCCAGCCCUACAGACAGCUGUUCCAAUGAAAGCUGGACCUAUACUCAGCUAUGAAAAUCAACCCCUUCCCCCCGGUACCUUCUCACCCAUCAACAGUGAGUAUGUGUGUGUGUUAAGUCCCCAUGGUGUUGUGGUUUAUUUGGCAA